CACCUUGAGUGGUUAAGGCUCCCAGUAGACGACUGGGUUGAUAGGCCAGAUGUGGAAGCCCGGUAACGGGUGGAGCUGACUGGUACUAAUAGGCCGAGGGCUUGUCCUCAGUUG
rnacentral:rRNA from 1 species